GAUAUUUUAAUAAGGCGAAAAAGAGAGGAGACGAGGGAUUUGAAAACAGUACAGAGGAAGACAGGGACAGCAGGAGUGGAGCAUCGUCAGAAGAGAGAAUGAGAUAUGUGGAAAAUGGAGAUGAUGAGACACAAGUGCGAUCCAUCAAAGACUGUAGAGAAAGAGUGUGAGUCACAGUGUACUCCAUCAAAAAAAGGAAGAAUGCAGGGACAGCCUCAUAUGGCUCUGAAUUUAAUUCACAGUGGAUCAAGGAAUGGUCUUGCAUCACACCUGGGACUACACCUUUUCACUUUUGUUGUGCAACCUGCCGGCAUGAGUUAGAAUGCAAACACCAGGGCAGAGCCGAUGUGAUUCUCCACUUCAACAGGAAAUCACACUUAAAAAAACAAAAAAUGGUUGACAGCUUGUCAAAAUGGGUUUUUUCACAAUGCAAAGCACUGAGACGAUGAAUAGUGGUUAAGUAUAGUGGUUAUUUAGUGGGGGUUAAGAUGCAAUGAUUGAUGUUAUGUCAACAAAACUUUGCCUAACUUGUUAUUAAAUUAAUACAUUGAUUAAUUAAUAAAAUAACAUAAAUUACCUAACUGCAGCACACUCUACACCUAUGUAGAUAUGUGAUUGGGUUUACUAUUUUAUAUGUACUUUCAUCAUUACACAACCACAGACCUGAAGAGCCUAGGUGAAAGUGACUAUGACAGUGAUGCAGCACAACAUCCCAUUGGCAUUUUCAGAUCACCUGAGCCCACUGUUCAAGGAGUGUUUCCCUGAUUCCAAGAUAGCACAAAAGUAUUCCUCGGCCAAUAAAAAACCCCCAAAAUAUUCUCAUAAGUCAAGUCAUGGGCAAUAAAUGCAACAAGUCACCGUGGGACCAUAUUCAGCAAAAUGAAAGAGGUGCUGGAAGGGCACAAUAUCCCAUGGGCCAACUGUGUGGCCCUUGCAGUUGACAAUGCUAGUGUCAAUCUGGAAAUCAAGAAUUCCAUUAAGAGCAGGAUCCUGGACCAAAAUCCAUCCAUCUACAUUCUUGGCUGUCCCAGCCACAUUGUGCACAACAACACUGGUGGCUUGGUGUACUCCAAGAUAUCAGGUUUUGAUGUUGAAGAUUUCUGUAUCUCGCCUACUAGUUUAAAUCCAGCACUUAGAGGAAAAACAUGCUUGAUGGCAGGUUAUCCUUACAUAACACAUUUAUUGUAUUCAAUGAUUCAGAAAUUGUUUGAAGGGCCACUCUAAAAUACAUAUUUUGUGCUACUCAGAAUUCUGCAUGUUUUGUGACACUGAAUACAUGGAGGUACUUCAGCAUUUGAGCAUCAGGUGGCUCAGUUUGGAUCUGGCUGUCAACUGCAUACUCAGCCUCUACAAGGCCCUGAUGAGCUACUUCAGAUCCACUAGAGAAAAGCAAGCCAGGUGUCUGUGGCUCUGUGUCUGUUUUGAGGAUCUGUUGAGAAAGGUUCAUCUCCACUUCUACCAGGCACUUCUGCCUACAUUUUGCCAGUUUAAUCUGUUAUUCCAGAAGCAGCACAGAUGCAUCUAUCAACUCCAUGGGCUAGUACACGAUUUAACUGUUUCUGUUAUUAUUAUUAUUAUUAUUAUUAUAAAUGAUUCUUAUAUUAAUGUUUAUGGAUGGGGGGGAGUUGCAUAUGUUCUCUGUUUUAGGUGAGGGCAUUCAUCCAAACGCAGGUGUCAAAGGUCUUGAAGCCUGCAGCUUUCAGAACAACAAGCUUGCUCUGCAUGGCUUGCCUUCUGAAUCAUAGAACUGUAUCAGUGGAGGUGGGCAGUAGGUGCUUGCGUUGAGCUACACACUUUAACAGUGAUUGAUUGAAUGACAGAGAUCCAACCCAGGACUGGGCUGGGUCCAAAUUAUAUUAAUUGGAAUAUAACAAUAGAAGGUUCUCUUUCCAUUGGAAGAGCAUCAUGCUGCUGCUAAUGUGCUUUCUCUCUUUUUUGUUGCUUUUUGUUGCAAAAUGCAAAAUGUUGUUUUUGUUGACAACAUUUUGCAUUUGGUCUAAUUACCUUUGGGCAGUAAUCACAGGUUCCUGCAAUGGGUCUCAGGUUCCAGUAGGUUUAACACAAAUCAGUUUUUGAUUGUGUCCAGUGAAGACCUCUAGUCUGUCAAACUGGCAGAAAAUGUAGUUUGGCUAUCCAUGAUCUCCAGGGGAUGACUCAUAAUGAGUUUGGUAAUCCUCUGACCUUUCUCCAGCACCACCAUCAGGCCAAAGACACAUAGCAUUCUAGGAUUUUUCCAUGACCUGAGAUGAACUCUUUUAAUUUUAAUGAUCUUGUGGCCUUUCUUCUUGCAUCAGGAUGAAUUGUAACAAAUACGGUGACCCCCUGGAUUUUAAUUUCGAGUCAUUAUAUCAAAAUUUCAAUUUGUCCAACACUUUAAUUUAUACAAAUACCUGUGAAAUUAAUCCCUGUGGCUGUGACGUUUAACUUCAGCAUAAACUAUCCUGCUGGAAGGAAAUAGUACAUUUGUUGGGGACUAUUUUCAGCGACUGAUUAAUCCACAUUUGAGAAAUAAGUGCAUUGGAACAGCCUACAUGGUGGCAAAUCAGAUUGUUCUCCAGGUCAUGUGAGGAGCAAAGAAUAAAAAUAAGAAAAUUGACAUCUACCCAUGGUAAUAAACGAACAUGUCACCCAGUCACCCAGUAAAACAGUGUGGCUCAUUUAUGUGUUUUGGAAAACAAUGGAACUCUAUGGCGCAGGGGAAUAAGAUAUAUCAGGCUUUGAAUACACACACAAUACUUUUUAGUAGGUUUAACUCUGUAUAUGGGAUUUGUUGACAGUAAGUAAAAAAUAUAGAAUAUCUCCAGGCUUACCCUUUAAGUGGGCACGUCUUCACUCCACCUUUCAAACUGAAGUUGCCAAAUUGAUUGUUAACGGUUUGUCACAAAUGCAUAAAAACAAACAAAAAUGUAUGCAAUUUGUUUUUGUCAGUAGUUAAGCCCCAACCUGCACAUCAUCCACUGUGCCCUCAUGUUCUGAUGCUGUCUCUCAGAUUCAUAUGUAUGCACAAAGGAAAGCUGCAAUAUGCCAUUCCCCAGAUUAAUUCUCUUUCACUUUUAAUUCAAACAACGCUAAAGUUGAAAUGACAAGUUGUGCUGACAGCGAC